UACAGAGGGUGCAAGCGGUGUUCGGAAUUAUUGGGCGUAAAGCGCGUGUAGGCGGCUUUGCAAGUCGGGUGUGAAAGCCCUCGGCUCAACCGAGGAAGUGCGCCCGAAACUGCAGAGCUUGAGUACCGGAGAGGAUGGCGGAAUUCCCCAAGUAGAGGUGAAAUUCGUAGAUAUGGGGAGGAACACCGGUGGCGAAGGCGGCCAUCUGGACGGAUACUGACGCUGAGACGCGAAAGCGUGGGGAGCAAACAGG
rnacentral:rRNA from 1 species